AUGCGCGCGCAUGAGUGGCCAAUGAACGAUACCCGGCACUCCUCUCUCGGACUUAGCCACGCCCUUCAUUAGUUCCUGAGGGGAUUUUUCAGAACAGAGGUUAUGGCAGUUUCACCAUCCAAUUCCAUUUUUAUCAGGUGUGCUUCCUGGCCAAAGAAGUCAGAUGAGUGCAUGAGCAGCCCCUUUGAGGACAAGGCUUGGAUUCCCAGGAGCAGACAAGGAACUCUGUGGGCAUACUCCAAGGAAACUGGACCUCCUCUGUCACAGGAAAUCCACUGUUUAAGCACCACCACUACCUCAGGAAGUCCACUGUCUAUGUGUCAACUCCACUGUUACAGGACCACAAGUGUCUCAGCACUUCAACUAUCACAGCACUUCUACUGUUCAGGAGCUCAAGAGUCUCAGCAUCUCAAGUGUCACAGGACCUCCUUUGUCCAAGAACUGGACUGUCCAAGCAACACUACUAUUGCAGGACUUCCACUGUAGGAGCACUGCAACUGUCUCAGGACACCCACUGUCCUAUAACCUCCACUAUCCCAGGAAUUCCACUGUCGUAGCACCACCCGUAGCAACUAAAGUGUUUCAGGACAUCAACUGAAGCAAGAUCUCCCAUGAUGCUGCAACUUCACUGCCACAGGAUCUCUACAGUGACAGGAAUACCCCUGUAUCAGCAAUUCCAAUUUUGCAGGACCUCCACUGUAGCAGAACCUUCAAUUGUGCAGCAGCUCCCCUGUAAGUAGAUUGACCACCACGAUCUCAGUGCCUCCACUUUCAAAGGACCUUCACUGUCACAGAACCGGCGCUAUUUCAGUGCCUCCACUGUCGCAGGACCUACCUCUUCACAGGAUCUGCACUGUUGCAGCAACUGUAAUUUCAAUUUUUCAAAGUCAUUGCUGGUUAUUAGAUUUGAGGCUGAAUGAAAUGUGAUGCUACUUUUGACAGCAUAAGAAUUUGUUCUAUAGCUCUUGUGAUAAAUGCCGUGUGUGCUAGGACCAGUAACCUAUGGAAGACUUCAUGAGCUCAUACCACUCUCCACCUCACUUUGUGGAAGCUGGUGUUUUUAGAGUGUGAUAAACUUCAGGUGAAUGGAUUCAUUCAGCUGCACCACGCUCUAUAGUGUGCUACACAGCAGUCAUAUUGAGUCCUUGCUGGGAAGAGAAGAAAUCCAGAAGAGGGAGAAGGCUUGGGUUGGGGGAAGAAUCAUAAAAUACUUAGAGGAUAUAAGAAGGUAAGAAUUAUGGGGAACUGGAAAACAGAGCCAGAGGAAGAAUGAGCACAGAGCAAACUGGGAAGGACAAAGUACAAAGGCACAUGGGUUUUGCCAUCUGCGUGUUCUCUGGACAAUCUCCCUUGGCCUCAUUUCUGGGAGAAAACUCUUCCUCCACCCCCUUGUAAUGUUUCAUUCUUGAAGGAAAGCAGCAACACAACUUCAUCAGUGAAUUUCCCCAUUGGAAUUGGUUCAUCCUUUAAUGCCUCUGGGAAAUCCCCAGCAGGGGAAUGUCCUGCUCUCUGCUGAGAGACAGCAGGAAAGUAGGUUGUCCUCUGUUUUCUCGUUGCUACAGCUCUUCUAAGUGUGGAUGAUUGUUGAGUGAAGACACAGGACACUUCUGGUGUGUAUGUAUGCUUUGUUCACUAUGGGUGUUGUCGGGAGUGUCCUGAAAAGAAGAAGGGCAUGCCCAAUGGCUCUUUGCUUCCUCUUUGACUAGCCUUAUGAUCAUAGAGAUACACUAGGCCAUUGGAAGAUGAGGAGAACAAUGUGUCUAUGUUGUGUUCACUUCUAUUCCUAUUUAGUCCUAGAGGGAAAUCAGCAAGGGUAGAGAAUGGGACCGUAACUGGACAAAGCUGCUGAGCCUGUGUUGUGAAGCAAUUCCUGUGUAUAACUUGCUGUUACAUUAAGCAAUAGGAUGCCAUGUUCUGUUUAUACCUUUUUGAUGCAAUGAAUCUAUAAUAUUUUACCUCAAACCUCAAUAUAUUACGUUUCUUCCUCUUUUGGAGUAUCUGGCAUGGGAGGGAUCACUUCUUCAUAAGGAUUUGUGAACCUCUUCUGGUUUUAUUGACCAGGGGUACAUCAUCACCUCUGAGACUGUCAGCCCAUAGUUUGGAUUGACUUUUAUUAAGAGGCUAAGCUGCCUCUUCUGACACCCCACAGUGAGCAGGGUACACACCUGCUACAACCUGUCUUCUGAACUGUUGUAUGACAACAGAGUCAAAUACAAGAGUGAAAUAUAAGCCUACUCCUAAGAUCCAUAUAUUGUUGUUUUUUUUUUUUUUUUGCACCAUCAUAAAGUUGUCCUAGGAAGAGAUCAGGUGCACCAAUAGGGUAAGCACCAUGCUGCCAGUUCAGCAUUUGCCCAGGUUUGUCUUGAGUUGAAGGCCAAAGUCGAUGCUUUUGACUUUUCCGUUCUUCUCUAACAAAAUAUAAUCUGGUUUCAGGUCACUGUGAACUUAUACAGUGCCCAUAGCCAUAGAUAAAGCCUGCUAACAUUUGCCUAAAUAUUUCCUUGGCUCCUUCCUCCUCUCGGUGGAAAGAUUUUCAGAUGUAUUUGUAAAGCUCUAAAAUUUCAACCAGUUUCACGAUAAGUUAUUAGAAUUGUCUCAGACUCAAUUGGAGAAGCAAGAUGAUGUUGGGGUGGAUGAAAAACUUCAUUAUAUUUGCCAUGGUCAUGUUUGGCUGGCACCAUUGCUUCUUCUUUGCAUGCACUUUGAUAACCCCUGUAUCAGAACUUCCACUGUCCCAGCACCUGAACUAUCCCAAGACCUCCACAGUCAAAGGACCAAUAUUGUGGUAGGGUGUCUGUGGUCAGGCAACUCCUCUGUCUCAGACCCUCCAAAUUGCAAGACCUUUACGGGCACUGGAAGUCACUGUGCCUAAACUUCCACUGUUGGAGUACCUCAAGUAUAACAAAGACCUCUACUAUUGUACAACCCCCUUGUCAUAGCACGUCUAUUGUUACAAAGUAGUCCACUGUCAAAGGACCUCCAGGGUCUCAAUCUCUCCACUGUUACAGGAUCUCUACUGUCUUAGGACCACUGCUGUUGGAGGACCUCCUGUCUCUCAUCAACUUCAGUUUGUUGGAGCUCUCCUAUCAGAGGACAUUUACAUUUUCUGUACUUCCAGUGUCACAGCUGUUAUAAGAACCUCCAUUCUCACAGGACCUCCAGUGCGUCAGUACCUCCACUGUCCAAGGAUUUUUAUAUUGUAGGACCUCUACUGUCCUACAGAAUGUCCACUGUCGCUAGAUUUCCACUGUCACAACACCGCAACCAUUACAAGAACUGCAAUUUUGGCAUGACCUCCAGUGUUCCAGCCCCUCCAGUGUCAUAGGACCUCCACUAUCACAGGACGUCCACUGUCUCACCAAGGCCAAUUUAAAGGACCUCUACUAUAACAGGAUAUCCACUGUAGCUGGACUUACACUGUUGCAGUACCUCAACUGUUGCAGGACCAACAAGGUUGCAGGACAUAGACCCCCUCAGCAGCUAGAAUUUGCAGGACCUCUACUGGCACAAAAAUUCCACAGUUGCUGGAGCUCCACUGUCACUGCAAAUGCACUGUCUCAUGAUAUUCACUGUUGCUGGACCAGUAGUGUGGCAGCACAUCCAUUUUUGCCAAGCCCCUCCACUGACGCAAGACUUCCACUUUUGUAGCACCUUCACUGUCCAAGCAAACCAACUCCUGCAGGAUCUCCAUUGUCUCAGGGCAUUCACUAAUGCCAGCUCUCCAAUGUUGUAGGAUAUCCACUUUCACAACAGCUAGAAUCUUGCAGGACCUCUACUGGCAAAGACAGUCCACUGCUGCUGGCUCUCUACAGUCAGUGCCAAUGCAUCGAUUCAUGACCUCCAUUGUCACAUGACCUCCACUUUUGUAGGACCGUCACUGUCCAGGCAAACUGCAGGAUCUCCAGUGUCUCAGGACAUUUACUGGUGCAGAGCCUCCCUUUAUUCCAGACUUCAACUAUUCCAAGGUCAUCUACAAUGUCUUAGGACCUCCAAUAUUGCAGGACCUCAAAUGUCCCAGGACCUCAGGUGACAUAGCACCUCCAUUGUCCCAACACCCUUACUGUCCCAGAACCUCAAUUUUCCCAUGACCUAUUCAGUUGCAUGACCUCCAAAGUUGGAAGAACUGCACGGUAUGAGAGCCUCAACUGUUGUAGGACCUCCAAUGUUGUAGGAACACAAUAUUCCUACACUGGACCUACACUGUCCAUCACCUUCACUUUCCUAGCACCUCCACUCUCACAGGACCUACACUGUUGCAGGAACUCCAUUGUCUGAGCACCUGCAUGUCUCAGGACCUCGAAUGAUCCAGAACCCCUAAUGGUGCAGGACCUCCACUGUCACCAGACUUCCACUGUCUCAGGACAUCCACUCUAUCACCAACUAGACUUUUGCAGAACUUCUACUGGAACAGGAUCUCCAUUGUGGCUGGUCUUACAUUGUCUAAAGCCUCCACUAUCACAGACUUUCAGAUGAAUUUGUAAAGCUGUAGAACUUCAAAGAGCUCCAUGAGAAGGUAUAGACAUGUCUCAGACUCAAUUCCUUGGUGAAGCAAUAUGAAUUUGGGGUGGAUUAAUAUCUUCAUUAUAUUUGCCAUGGUCUGGUCUGGGUGGCAUCCUUGCUGCUUCUUUCCAUGCAUUUUGAUAACCAUUGUAGCAGUACUUCCACUGUCCCAGAACCUGCACUACCCUAAGAACUCCCUUGUCACAGGACAUCCACUGUGGUAGUACUUCGGCUGUCAGGAAACUCCACAGACUCAGUACCUCCAAACUGCAAGAUCUCUACUGGCACAGGAAUUCUACUGUCCCUGAACAUCCACUGUCACAGCACUUCAACUGUUUCAAGGACCUCUAUUGUCGCAAUACCUCCUAUAUCACGGUUAUAAGGACCUGCAUUGUCAAAAGACCUCCAUUGUCUCAGCCCUUCCACUUUCUCAGGACCUCCAAGCUGCAGGAACUCUACUGGCACAGGUUAUCCAUUGACACUGCUUUUCCACUGUUGCAGGACCUCAACUGUUAUAAGGACCUCCACUGUGGCAGGACCUUCAGUGUCUCAUCAACUUCACGGUGAGCAACACCAAUGUGCAAGACCUCUACUAGCACAGGAUAUGCACAGUAUCUAUACUUAGACUGUUGCAGUACCUUAACUGUUGCAGGACCUCCAAUUUAGAACAUGCACUCUUUUAGCACCAAGACUUUUGCAGGACCUCUACUGGCACAAUAUUUCCUCUGUUGUUGGACCUCCACCGUCAGUUCAAUGGCACUGACUCAUGACAUCCACUGUUGCAGGACCUCCAAUGUUGAAGGAUGUUCACUGUUGCAGGGCAUUCCCUGUCAAAGGACCUCUGUUGAUGCGGGAUCUCCACUUUCACUGUUCUAGCAAACCAACUAUUGCAGAACCUACAGUGUUGGAACAACUGCAUUGUAUCAGGACAUUUACUGUUGCAUGACCUGUAGAGUGGAAACACCCCCAUUUUUACCAGAUCUCAGCUGUCCCAGGCCCAUCUCCACUGACUGAGGACCUCCAAUAAUGCAGGACAUCCAAUAUUUCAGGACCUCAAAUGUGCCAGGACCUCAACUGAUGAAGGAUCUCCAAUAUCGCAGCACCAAAACAGUCACAGGACCUCCAUUGUCCCAUCACCUUUACUGUCCCAGCA